rnacentral:rRNA from 1 species
UGCGUAGGUGGUUUCUUAAGUCAGAGGUGAAAGGCUACGGCUCAACCGUAGUAAGCCUUUGAAACUGGGAAACUUGAGUGCAGGAGAGGAAAGUGGAAUUCCUAGUGUAGCGGUGAAAUGCGUAGAUAUUAGGAGGAACACCAGUAGCGAAGGCGGCUUUCUGGACUGUAACUGACACUGAGGCACGAAAGCGUGGGGAGCAAACA